rnacentral:rRNA from 1 species
GACGAACGCUGGCGGCGUGCUUAACACAUGCAAGUCGAACGGAAAGGCCCUGCUUUUGUGGGGUGCUCGAGUGGCGAACGGGUGAGUAACACGUGAGUAACCUGCCCUUGACUUUGGGAUAACUUCAGGAAACUGGGGCUAAUACCGGAUAGGAGCUCCUGCUGCAUGGUGGGGGUUGGAAAGUUUCGGCGGUUGGGGAUGGACUCGCGGCUUAUCCGCUUGUUGGUGGGGUAGUGGCUUACCAAGGCUUUGACGGGUAGCCGGCCUGAGAGGGUGACCGGCCCCAUUGGGCCUGCGAUACGGCCCAGACUCCUACGUGAGGCAGCAGUGGGGAAUAUUGCACAAUGGGCGGAAGCCUGAUGCAGCAACGCCGCGUGCGGGAUGACGGCCUUCGGGUUGUAAACCGCUUUCGCCUGUGACGAAGCGUGAGUGACGGUAAUGGGUAAAGAAGCACCGGCUAACUACGUG